UACGUAGGGUGCAAGCGUUGUCCGGAAUUAUUGGGCGUAAAGAGCCCGUAGGCGGUUUGUCGCGUCGGCUGUGAAAACCUGGGGCUCAACCCCGGGCCUGCAGCCGAUACGGGCAAACUAGAAUUCGGUAGGGGAGACUGGGAUUCCUGGUGUAGCGGUGAAAUGCGCAGAUAUCAGGAGGAACACCGGUGGCGAAGGCGGGUCUCUGGGCCGAUAUUGACGCUGAGGAGCGAAAGCGUGGGGAGCAAACAGG
rnacentral:rRNA from 1 species